CCAAUUCAAAGGACUAUUGUCACCAGUUGAGGCAGCAGCGUGGGAUUCCUUCGAAAUGAUCGUUUCUUCUUUUCUCGGUAAACACAAAAGUCCAAACUACGAGAAGAUAGUGAGCGACUUAAUCAAAAAUUAUGCAGAAAUGGGCGUAAAUAUGUCUCUAAAAAUUCAUUUUCUGCAUUCCCAUUUAAGUUUUUUUCCGGAAAAUCUCGGAGACGAAAGUGACGAGCAUGGCGAAAGGUUUCACCAGCAAAUGAAAUUAAUUGAGAAUCGAUACCAAGGUUUCUGGGACGUCGGUAUGAUGGGUGACUACUGUUGGUUUCUCAUAAGAGAAACCGAUCCUAAACUAAAUAAACGACAAAACAAAACACAUAAUCAUUUCGACUAUAAUGUAAGAACAUCAACUUAAGACAAAAAUAACACAUUGUUUUAAUAUAUAUUACUAAUAUAUAAAUAAAUGAGUUUAUAAAAACUAAAAACGA